rnacentral:rRNA from 1 species
AACACAUGCAAGUCGAACGGUAACAUUUCUAGCUUGCUAGAAGAUGACGAGUGGCGGACGGGUGAGUAAUGCUUAGGGAUCUGCCCUUGGGAAGGGGAUAACCAUUGGAAACGAUGGCUAAUACCGUAUAACGUCUACGGACCAAAGGGGGCUUCGGCUCUCGCCUGAGGAUGAACCUAAGUGAGAUUAGCUAGAUGGUGAGGUAAAGGCUCACCAUGGCGACGAUCUCUAGCUGUUCUGAGAGGAAGAUCAGCCACACUGGGACUGAGACACGGCCCAGACUCCUACGGGAGGCAGCAGUGGGGAAUAUUGCACAAUGGGGGGAACCCUGAUGCAGCCAUGCCGCGUGUGUGAAGAAGGCCUUAGGGUUGUAAAGCACUUUCAGAUGUGAGGAAAGGUUGGUAGUUAAUACCUGCCAGCUGUGAUGUUAGCAUCAGAAGAAGCACCGGCUAACUCCGUGCCAGCAGCCGCGGUAAUACGGAGGGUGCGAGCGUUAAUCGGAAUUACUGGGCGUAAAGCGCACGCAGGCGGUUUGUUAAGCUAGAUGUGAAAGCCCCGGGCUCAACCUGGGAUGGUCAUUUAGAACUGGCAAACUAGAGUUUUGGAGAGGGGAGUGGAAUUCCAGGUGUAGCGGUGAAAUGCGUAGAUAUCUGGAGGAACAUCAGUGGCGAAGGCGGCUCUCUGGCCAAAAACUGACGCUCAUGUGCGAAAGUGUGGGUAGCGAACAGGAUUAGAUACCCUGGUAGUCCACACCGUAAACGCUGUCUACUAGCUGUGUGCUUAUUCAUUUAGGUGCGUAGCGAAGCUAACGCGCUAAGUAGACCGCCUGGGGAGUACGGCCGCAAGGUAAAACUCAAUGAAUUGACGGGGGCCGCACAAGCGGUGGAGCAUGUGCUUAUCGAUGCACGCGAGACCUACAGACUGACAUCAGAGACUUCUAGAGAAUAGAUGUGCUCGGGACCUCUGAAACAGGUGCUGCAU